CACGUAGGGUGCGAGCGUUGUCCGGAAUUAUUGGGCGUAAAGAGCUCGUAGGCGGUUUGUCGCGUCGUCCGUGAAAACUUGGGGCUCAACCCCAAGCUUGCGGGCGAUACGGGCAGACUUGAGUACUGCAGGGGAGACUGGAAUUCCUGGUGUAGCGGUGAAAUGCGCAGAUAUCAGGAGGAACACCGGUGGCGAAGGCGGGUCUCUGGGACGGUACUGACGCUGAGACGCGAAAGCGUGGGGAGCGAACAGG
rnacentral:rRNA from 1 species